AGAGUUUGAUCCUGGCUCAGGAUGAACGCUGGCGGCGUGCCUAACACAUGCAAGUCGAACGAAGCUUGACGGAUGAUUUCUUCGGAAUGAAACCAGAUAUGACUUAGUGGCGGACGGGUGAGUAACACGUGAGCAACCUGCCUUUCAGAGGGGGAUAACGGCUGGAAACGGUCGCUAAUACCGCAUGAUGUGUUCGGAUGGCAUCAUCUGAACAUCAAAGAUUUAUCGCUGAAAGAUGGGCUCGCGUCUGAUUAGAUAGUUGGUGGGGUAACGGCCUACCAAGUCGACGAUCAGUAGCCGGACUGAGAGGUUGAACGGCCACAUUGGGACUGAGAUACGGCCCAGACUCCUACGGGAGGCAGCAGUGGGGAAUAUUGCACAAUGGGGGAAACCCUGAUGCAGCAACGCCGCGUGAAGGAUGACGGUUUUCGGAUUGUAAACUUCUUUUCUUAGUGACGAAGACAGUGACGGUAGCUAAGGAAUAAGCAUCGGCUAACUACGUGCCAGCAGCCGCGGUAAUACGUAGGAUGCAAGCGUUAUCCGGAUUUACUGGGUGUAAAGGGAGCGCAGGCGGGACUGCAAGUUGGAUGUGAAAUACCGUGGCUUAACCACGGAACUGCAUCCAAAACUGUAGUUCUUGAGUGAAGUAGAGGCAAGCGGAAUUCCGAGUGUAGCGGUGAAAUGCGUAGAUAUUCGGAGGAACACCAGUGGCGAAGGCGGCUUGCUGGGCUUUAACUGACGCUGAGGCUCGAAAGUGUGGGGAGCAAACAGGAUUAGAUACCCUGGUAGUCCACACUGUAAACGAUGAUAGCUAGGUGUGGGGGGUCUGACCCCUUCCGUGCCGGAGUUAACGCAAUAAGCUAUCCACCUGGGGAGUACGACCGCAAGGUUGAAACUCAAAGGAAUUGACGGGGGCCCGCACAAGCAGUGGAUUAUGUGGUUUAAUUCGAAGCAACGCGAAGAACCUUACCAGGUCUUGACA
rnacentral:rRNA from 1 species